UACGGAGGGGGCGAGCGUUGUCCGAAGUUACUGGGCGUAAAGGGCGCGUAGGCGGGAAGCUAAGUCCGCUGUCAAAGCCCGGGGCUUAACCCCGGGUCGGCAGUGGAUACGGGCAGGCUAGAGGUAGGUAGGGGAGAAUGGAAUUCCCGGUGUAGCGGUGAAAUGCGCAGAUAUCGGGAGGAACACCGGUGGCGAAGGCGGUUCUCUGGGCCUUACCUGACGCUGAGGAGCGAAAGCGUGGGGAGCGAACAGG
rnacentral:rRNA from 1 species